rnacentral:misc_RNA from 1 species
AUUUUAAGAAGCUAUUCCAGAAACUCAAGCAUAAAGAAAAGCCUCAAGGAAUCACUCAAUGAAUAGAUGAAGACACGUAAUAUGGUUUACAAUUACAAGCAAACAUAUGGUAUUAUGAUGAAUGAUAUUCUUCCAUAUUUGACUAAGACAUAAAGAUACAAAUGUUCCAUAAAAAGAUCAAAUUUUGUAUAAACCUGCGUCUGUAGUCUAGUCUUCA